GACGAACGCUGGCGGCGUGCUUAACACAUGCAAGUCGAACGGUAAGGCCCUUCGGGGUACACGAGUGGCGAACGGGUGAGUAACACGUGGGUGAUCUGCCCAGCACUUCGGGAUAAGCCUGGGAAACUGGGCCUAAUACCGGAUAGGACCACUGCCUGCAUGGGGGGUGGUGGCAACCUUUUGAGGUGUGGGAUGGGCCCGCGGCCGAUCAGCUUGUUGGUGGGGUGAUGGCGUAACAAGGCGACGACGGGUAGCCGGCCGGAGAGGGUGACCGGCCACACUGGGACUGAGAUACGGCCCAGACUCCUACGGGAGGCAGCAGUGGGGAAUAUUGCACAAUGGGCGCAAGCCUGAUGCAGCGACGCCGCGUGAGGGAUGACGGCCUUCGGGUUGUAAACCUCUUUCAGCACCGACGAAGCGCAAGUGACGGUAGGUGCAGAAGAAGGACCGGCCAACUACGUGCCAGCCGCCGCGGUAA
rnacentral:rRNA from 1 species